rnacentral:tRNA from 1 species
CUUGUUGUAGUUUAGUGGUGGGAAUUCCAUGUUGUGGCCAUGGAGACUUGGGUUUGAAUCCCAACAACCACA